CCUACGGGUGGCAGCAGUAGGGAAUCUUCCACAAUGGGCGAAAGCCUGAUGCAGCAACGCCGCGUGGGUGAAGAAGGUCUUCGGAUCGUAAAACCCUGUUGUUAGAGAAGAAAGUGCGUGAGAGUAACUGUUCACGUUUCGAUGGUAUCUAACCAGAAAGCCCCGGCUAACUACGUGCCAGCAGCCGCGUUAAUACUGAGGGGGCAAUCGUUAUCCGGAUGUGUUGGGCGUAAAGGGAACGCAGGUGGUCUUUUAAGUCUGAUGGGAAAGCCUUCGGCUUAACCGGAGUAGUGCAUGGGAAACUGGGAGACGUGAGUGCAGAAGAGGAAAGCGGAAUGCCUGGUGUAGCGGUGAAAUGCGUAGAUAUAAGGAAGAACACCAGUGGCGAAGGCGGCUGUCUGGUCUGUAACUGACGCUGAGGUUCGAAAGCGUGGGUAGCAAACAGGAUUAGAUACCCGGGUAGUC
rnacentral:rRNA from 1 species